CACCCAAACACGACGAAUGUACCUCUUGCUGUCUCGCUCACCGGAAAGCCAUGUGCAGAAGCUACGAACUUACUAAGGGUUGUGGGAGGAGGGAAGCGAGCAGCUUUAGUCUCCAAAAGCAAGUGGAUGCCAGUAGAACCAACGUCGUUGUGGACGCUGGUGGAGAGAGAAAAAAUGUUUGCACAGGAAAAUGUCUACUUCACUGACUGCGUUCUACGUCACAUGCAUCAGUACCGCUUCAUUGCACAUUUUGACACUGACGAAGUGCCCAUUUUGCCCAAGCAUGAC